CGGGACCGGGAUCAGUCAAUACCCGGCCCGUCCCGGCUCAUGCCCAGCCCUAGUCUCCACUUUCUUGUAAUCUUGUUCAAGAGGAAAGUAGAGAAAGUGAGCAUCGUCGACCAUGACCAACAGCGCAAGCGGCAGCGGCAAGCAUGAUGAGCCCACCAAACCUCCGCCCCCAAAGGAUUCCAAAAAGAAAGACGAGGAUUUGUCCGAUGAAGAUUUGGCCCUCAAGCAGCAAUUAGUACUUGGAGAGGGUUCAAGAUUCCGGACUACAGAAAGUUGCGCUAGAGGCAGGAAAUUCGUACCUCAACUAGUUCCAUGACCUCAUUACCAAAGUUUUCGCCCACAUUACGGAACUCUAAAAGCAUACUAUGAAACAAUGACCGAUUCAGAUUUGAAGAAAUACCUUGCGGAUAUACUGUCGGUUUUGGCACUGACCAUGUAUGCUGAAGGAGAACGGGAAAGCUUAAAGUUUAGAUUGUUGGGUUCAGAAUAUUGGUUCAUGGGGACAUGAAUAUGUCAGGAACUUAGCUGGAGAAAUUGCUCAAGAAUAUGCCAAGGCACAGAGUGAUGAGACCCCGUUUGAUGAUCUAAUGGAGCUAGUACAACAAAUAGUUGCUUUUCACACGAGGCACAAUGCCGAACCGGAAGCUGUUGACCUUUUAAUGGAGGUUGAAGACCUUGAUCUGUUAGUCGAGCAUGUUGGUAAGACAAAUUUUAAGAGGACUUGUCUUUACCUCAUCAGUUUGGCAAGAUUGGUUCCUGGACCGGAUGAUAUGUUAGUCUUGGAUAUCGCAUCCAUGAUAAAUCUGAAAUUUGAAGAAUAUCCAAAUGCACUUCUGACUGCCCUUUUCCUUGACAAUAAGGAGGUUUGUGCUUUUCAAAAAAAAUGGCAUGUGUUUUGUUAAUUGACCAGGGAAGUUGACAGAAGAUUAUACAAGUUAUAUGAUUUGGUGCUAACAAUUUUGAGUAUGUUCGCAGUAUGUAAAGCAAGUCUUUACAUCUUGUGAUGAUCUGCGUAAAAAGCAAAUCUGUUACAUCCUUGCCCAACAUGGUAGUAAUUUUGAGCUUAAUGAUGAGAUGAUGUCAGAAGAUGACGAAAGAGAAGCAAUGCAUGACAUUAUUAAUAACGCUAAACUCAGUGAUGGUUAUCUUACCCUUGCUUGUGAUAUUGAGGUCAUGGAGGCCAAAACUCCAGAAGAUAUCUACAAAGUUUUGAACGUUUCAUUUCAUGUCAUAGAUCUGACACUUGAUGCAUAUUUCAAAAUUUGCUGUUGUGAUGAUAUACCGUCAUAAGAUUUUAAGGAUUACUGCAUUUAAUGUGCAAAAAGCUAUGCUGCUCUGAGUGUUUAUUUGGUUGGUAACUUGCGUCCCUAUCAACUUUUGGUAUUUUUUAGUCACUCGAUUGAACUAGGGAGUAAAAUAGUGUUCUUUCACUCAUCUAAUUUAAGUGACUCAAAAUCUAUCGAUGAGGUAUCUAUAUUCAAUUUUCAUGCUCAUUACUACCCACUUUCCAUAUGAUUCUGUCAAGUUAAUAAUAAUACGUUUCAUUUUGUUCUUUUUUCUGUAAUCACAUAUCUGUGGGUUUCAUGCUCUUCACGACUAGAAAUAGUUUUGAAGGUUUGAUGAACUUUUAUCUUCUAGGAUUGAAUUACUACUGUUUUAUUAUGACAUAAAGAUUGAUUUAGAACUAAGUGUGGAUUUCUAUAUUUUGUUGGCUAUUGAUGAUGUCAUGGUGAUUAGAAGCAUGAUUCUUAUUUUGUUCUAUAUUUUGUUCGCCUGGGCUGGAAAAUAAAAGAAGUCCUCGUAUUUUAGGUAGUGGUAAUGAAAUAAAUAG